rnacentral:rRNA from 1 species
GAUGAACGCUGGCGGCGUGCCUAAUACAUGCAAGUCGAGCGAACGGACGAGAAGUUUGCUUUUCUGAUGUUAGCGGCGGACGGGUGAGUAACACGUGGAUAACCUACCUAUAAGACUGGGAUAACUUCGGGAAACCGGAGCUAAUACCGGAUAAUAUUUUGAACCGCAUGGUUCAAAAGUGAAAGACGGUCUUGCUGUCACUUAUAGAUGGAUCCGCGCUGCAUUAGCUAGUUGGUAAGGUAACGGCUUACCAAGGCAACGAUGCAUAGCCGACCUGAGAGGGUGAUCGGCCACACUGGAACUGGAACACGGUCCAGACUCCUACGGGAGGCAGCAGUAGGGAAUCUUCCGCAAUGGGCGAAAGCCUGACGGAGCAACGCCGCGUGAGUGAUGCAGGUCUUCGGAUCGUAAAACUCUGUUAUUAGGGAAGAACAUAUGUGUAAGUAACUGUGCACAUCUUGACGGUACCUAAUCAGAAAGCCACGGCUAACUACGUG